CUGAACCAGCCAAGUAGCGUGAAGGAUGAAGGCUCUAUGAGUCGUAAACUUCUUUUAUAUAAGAAUAAAGUGCAGUAUGUAUACUGUUUUGUAUGUAUUAUAUGAAUAAGGAUCGGCUAACUCCGUGCCAGCAGCCGCGGUAAUACGGAGGAUCCGAGCGUUAUCCGGAUUUAUUGGGUUUAAAGGGAGCGUAGGUGGAUUGUUAAGUCAGUUGUGAAAGUUUGCGG
rnacentral:rRNA from 1 species